GGCCUCGCCGGGAUUUGGCUGUGGUGGCUUCGACGUCUGUGUCAGGUUCGGUGUCCGGAACUGUCGGGAUAGUGGUGGAUUUGGUCCGGCGAAGGAAGUUCAGCCGACGGUCUUUUGAGCCCUGGGUGCGGAAAGUUGUGAUGCAACUGGACUGGACGCUCUAUGGCUCAGGAAGAAACCGGGACAGCACAAAUGAGAAAGAGGGGUGCGAGCAAAGAAGACAAAGAAUAUUGUAUAUAUUUAUAUAAUAUUGUAUAUAUUGUAUAUAUAUAUAUUGUAUAUAUUACUUAAUUUGUAAAAUAAAUACAAUUUAUUCCCGUGUUUAAUUUAUCGAAAAACCCUUCUACUUGAUAAUGAAUACACGUUACAUAUGAG